CAUGUCAAGUCGAACGGCAGCGGGGACUUCGGUCCGCCGGCGAGUGGCGAACGGGUGAGUAAAGUAUCGGAACGUACCUUUCAGUGGGGGAUAACGUAGCGAAAGUUACGCUAAUACCGCAUAUUCUGUGAGCAGGAAAGCAGGGGAUCGCAAGACCUUGCGCUGAUUGAGCGGCCGAUAUCAGAUUAGCUAGUUGGUGAGGUAAAGGCUCACCAAGGCGACGAUCUGUAGCGGGUCUGAGAGGAUGAUCCGCCACACUGGAACUGAGACACGGUCCAGAGUCCUACGGGAGGCAGCAGUGGGGAAUUUUGGACAAUGGGGGCAACCCUGAUCCAGCCAUGCCGCGUGAGUGAAGAAGGCCUUCGGGUUGUAAAGCUCUUUCGGCCGGGAAGAAAUCGUAUGGGUUAAUACCCUGUGCGGAUGACGGUACCGGCAUAAGAAGCACCGGCUAACUACGUGCCAGCAGCCGCGGUAAUACGUAGGGUGCGAGCGUUAAUCGGAAUUACUGGGCGUAAAGCGUGCGCAGGCGGUUUUGUAAGACAGGCGUGAAAUCCCCGGGCUCAACCUGGGAACUGCGCUUGUGACUGCAAGGCUAGAGUAUGGCAGAGGGGGGUGGAAUUCCACGUGUAGCAGUGAAAUGCGUAGAGAUGUGGAGGAGACACCAAUGGCGAAGGCAGCUCCCUGGGCCAAUACUGACGCUCAUGCACGAAAGCGUGGGUAGCAAACAGGAUUAGAUACUCUGCUAGUCCACGCUCUAAACGAUGUCAACUAGGUGUUGGGUGGGUAAAGCCAUUUAGUACCGUAGCUAACGGCGUGAAGUUGACCGUCUGGGGCAGUACGGUCGCAAGGAUAAAACUUCAAAGGAAUUUGACGGGGACCUCGCACAAGCCG
rnacentral:rRNA from 1 species